AACGGCUGGAAGGAAGGUAACUAGAGUACAGAUGCUUCUGGUUUUUAAGGCACGUCUUAAACUAUAUUUCCUGGUCCUCUUGCUAUUAGGCUGACCGCAUUACUGAAUUCUGCCAGUGAAACAGGGACAGAAGUGAUUUUGCCACUUCCGGUCCUAGUCCAUAAAAUCCUUGGUCCAUCGUGCCCUUUCCCAUCACUAUCUGGAUGACCCAGGGCACCAGGAAGCCAUGAAGAUGGGAGGAGCUUGCUCCCUGAGUGACUACAUGGAACAGAGCACCCGUCACCUUGUCCUCCGCUACCUGCCCUGGACUGUGACUUGGAUGAGGCAAACCUUCACCGUGUGAAUCCACUAAGAGUUUAGUUUGUCCUGACAGCAUGGUGAAGGCAAGAUCUGAAACCAAAUCCACCAGACUCUAAAGACCAUCCUCUCUCACUAAGACAUACUGCCACAAAUACAGCAGAAAUAUAAAAGCCCAUCUAUAAAAUAUUAUCUAAUCCCACAGUUCACCUCUCUCCCACCGUGCCCCUCCCACAAACAAGAAUUAGAUUCCUAAAGAUUUUAGAGGAAGUUGGGUAAACAAAAACAUAAAAUCAAGCGAGCAAUCGACAAAUAUUUGUUGACUGCACACUACCUGCCAAGCAUAGACAAAUCUACUUUUGUUGUCGCCUUGAGGUCAUGAACUCUGCCCUUUGCUCUCCCGGAUGGGAGGGGAGCAGAGGACAAGGUGGGAGGUAAGUCUAUGCCUGUUCUUUUCAGCAAUGAGAUUCUCCUUGGUUCUCCCAGUGUGUUAAUGAGCUACCUGGGGAGUGUCUGAUUUUACGUUUGAGAAGAAGAAUAGACUUUCGAUCUGAAAAACACUUUUUAAAUUUAAAAUACAUUUGCAAAUGAAGCAACUGACAAAGGAUUAAUCUCCAAGAUUUACAAGCAGCUCAU